rnacentral:snRNA from 1 species
GGUGGCAGAGGGCGGUACAAGACACAAUCCCCUCGCCUUUUACUAGGGGAUUCCGUGUGUCGUCCUCACAUCAAUGCCACCUUACGAAUUUUUCAGAACACAUGAACCUCUGGUUC